rnacentral:rRNA from 1 species
GACGAACACUGGCGGCGUGCCUAAUACAUGCAAGUCGAACGCAGUGGGGACGGGUGAGUAACACGUGGGUAACCUCCCAACAGAGGGGAUAAAACUUGGAAACAGGUGCUAAACCGAUACUGAUGGAUGGACCCGCGGUGCAUUAGCUAGUUGGUGGGGUAACGGCUCACAAAGGCCACGAUGCAUAGGCGAGCUGAGAGGGGGAUCGGCCACACUGGGACGUAGACACGGACCAGAUGCCUACGGGAGGCAGCAGUAGGGAAUCGUCGGCAAUGGACGAAAGUCUGACCGAGCAAAGCCGCGUGAGGGAAGAAGGUUUUCGGAUCGUAAAACUCUGUUGUUAGAGAAGCGGUAUCUAACCAGAAAGUCACGGCUAACUACGUGCCAGCAGCCGCGGUAAUAC